UCAGUUUUUCAAUGUUCUUUGCAAUUGUGUUGGGUAUGUCGGUGACAAUCAAGAGCUACGUGAAGAACUACUUGCAGCGCUGAUUGAAGUGGAAAAAAGGUUUUCAAAGGACGGCAGUAUAGAGUCUAAGAUCGAAGCUAAGCAUAGGCUUUUCAAUGAUUUUUAUGGUAUUGCACCACCUGAAACACCAUCUGUUUUACCUCCGCUCAUAGC
rnacentral:lncRNA from 1 species